rnacentral:lncRNA from 1 species
AGGACACUGGCCCCGCGCUCAGAAGAGCCCUGUGCUUGGCUGACUGCUCUGCUUUGCCAUCUUGAAAUUCUGAAUGGUUUUUGAACAAGGGACCCAGCAUUCUCAUUUUGCGCUGGACCCCACAGAUUAUGUCGCCAUGCUGUGAGUAGGAGACCAUCAGGCAGAGAAGAAGGGGUACUUUGGAAGCAAAAGCGCCCUGAGUGCACCGAGGUGUGCUGGAGCUCGAAACGCAGCCUGCUCCGGGAGCAGUCAGCGGAGGCACAGAGUCUCCAGUGGAAAGUUGUGUCCAGGAAACUGGUGGAAGCUCAAAGCGGAAAGCAGUCAGAGGCCCCCCCCAACCUGACGCGGGGGUCUGGACCUUACACGGCGGGUGCCCAGGAGCCUUCCAAACUUUGUCAAUCCGGGAGUGGUGACAUCAGAGCACGGCUUGAUGAGUGGUGUGUAGUCCCAGGAUCCGAACCAGCGAACCAUGGGCCACAGAAGCUAAGCACGCAAACUUAACCAUUGCACCACUGAGCCAGCUCCUGGAAAUGGUAUUUCUUAAUAGUCAAACAUGGAGGUAAAAAUAGAAAUUCUUAAAGAAAAGUGGGUGUGGAAGCCCACUCUCCUCUACGAUGGAAAGCUGUAGAGGUGCGACACGUAGAAGAGUCACCUAAAGUCACAGAUGACCACAACCAGGAGGAUUAGUGACAUGAACAUCAGGGGACCAGGGGCUGUUAACAUCUCUGUUCAAUGGCAGGGAUGACAGUGGCACACAGUGCCUGCGAGCUUUACACCGAGGCCCUGUUCUAAAUGCUUGAAAAGUGUUGGUGCAUAAAGACUCAGGAAGUUUCCUGGCAGAAAUGUGAGACUUGAGAAACUGAACUGUGAAUGGUUCCCUUUAUGAACAGCCAAUGAUUGACAGAAUGACUUUUAAUAGCUAUUAUGAGUUGAGCCCUUCCUAUGGGCUCAGCCCUACACCCCGCACGUGGAAUGGAUGGUCUUGUUUAAACCCGGCAACAGCUUUAUGAGGUGGGUACAAAUGUCCUCCCCAUUUUCACAUAUCAGGAAACUGAGGCCCACGGAGGUGAAAUAAUUCAUGUUCAAAGUCACAUGGCUCACCAUUAAGGGUCUGAAAUGGAACUGAAACCCAGGGCGGUCUCCUGCCAAGAUUCCUGCCUGCCUCUCUCCAGCUGGACAAUGCAGUUAACUUACAGAACCAGAGCGCUCUGCUUGCUGCCAUCACGACGUCAACAGCAACGACCCCUAACGCUUGCACAGAGCUUCAUGGUUACUAAGUUCGUUAGCAUUUGCUGUCUCCUGUGAUAUGACAGCCCUGUGAGAGGAGCAAAGCAGUUGCUAUAACCCCAUCGUCACCAACGUGGGACCCAAGGUACCAGAGGACUGGUCAUUCGCCCAGACACACACCACCCGCAAAGAAGGGUCGGAGCUUCCUAACUGCUACUCCGAAUUCAGGGGGCACUCCAUGGCUUCCCACCCCCUCCCAGUGUGCUGUCUCCCCUGAGGAAGCCAGAGAGAUUAUCUUUUCCCUGCCAUUCAUUUAUUUCACACUUCAUUUUAUUCACCCCUCAUUUAUUUCCUCAGUCAUAUUACAUUUUCAUUUUCCCUAUCCUGAAUAUUUGUUUCUGUAGUUGCUGUCUGUCUCCCCUCCUUGGAAUGUAAGCUGCAUGAGAGCUGGCCCAUGUCCUUUUGUCGAUUAUUUUAUUUCCAGCCCCCCAGAUAGUGCCUAGAACUUAAGUACAGUCACAUGCCACAUGACGACAUUUCGGUCAGUGACAGACUGCAUAUACGACCACGCAGCCUCGCUGCGCCGUGGGCCGCGCCGUCUGGGUCCGCGUGAGCACGCUCCGUGGUGUCCGCACGGCAACGCAAUCACCUAACAACACGUUUCUCAAAAAGUAUGCCCGUCAUUAUGUGAUGCGUGACUGUAGUUUAUUAUUCAAUUCUUCCAAUAAACAUUAAUUUUGUACUUUAUUGUUCAAUUCAUUCAAAUAAAUAUUAAUUCAUUCACUCAGUAGAUACUCAGGGAGCAUCCACUCUGGGCCAGGCU